rnacentral:rRNA from 1 species
GAUGAACGCUGGCGGCGUGCCUAAUACAUGCAAGUCGAGCGAACAGAUAAGGAGCUUGCUCCUUUGACGUUAGCGGCGGACGGGUGAGUAACACGUGGGUAACCUACCUAUAAGACUGGGAUAACUUCGGGAAACCGGAGCUAAUACCGGAUAACAUUUAGAACCGCAUGGUUCUAAAGUGAAAGAUGGUUUUGCUAUCACUUAUAGAUGGACCCGCGCCGUAUUAGCUAGUUGGUAAGGUAACGGCUUACCAAGGCGACGAUACGUAGCCGACCUGAGAGGGUGAUCGGCCACACUGGAACUGAGACACGGUCCAGACUCCUACGGGAGGCAGCAGUAGGGAAUCUUCCGCAAUGGGCGAAAGCCUGACGGAGCAACGCCGCGUGAGUGAUGAAGGGUUUCGGCUCGUAAAACUCUGUUAUUAGGGAAGAACAAAUGUGUAAGUAACUGUGCACGUCUUGACGGUACCUAAUCAGAAAGCCACGGCUAACUACGUG